UGCCUGAUGGAGCAGAACAGAAUAAGGAGA
rnacentral:piRNA from 1 species